GGGGUUGACGGUACCCUACUAGAAAGGAGCCGCUAACUUCGUGCCAGAAGCGUCGGUAAUACGGGGGCUCCAAGCGUUAUCCGGUGUUAUUGGGCGUAAAGAGUCGUGUAGGUGGUUGGGUAAGUUAUCUUUCAAAUAUCUUUGCUUAACAAAGAGGAGGGGGAUAAUACUGCUCGACUAGAAUUUUCUCAAGGGAGAUCGGAACUGAGGGAGGAGUAGUGAAAUGCGUUGAUACCCUCGGGAACACCAGUGGCGUAGGCGGAUCUCUGGGAGAAGAUUGACACUGAGACACGAAAGCUAGGGGAGCGAAGCAGAUUAGAGACCUGCGUAGUCCUAGCCGUAAACGCAUGCUUGCUAGCUGCAUGAAUCUACCUUCGGGUGGUAUCGUGUGGCGAAGGUAACCCGUUAAGCAAGCCGCCUGGAAAGUACGGCCGCAAGGCUGAAAUUCAAAGGAAUUGGCGGGGAGGCACACAACCAGUGGAACAUGUGGUUUAAUUCGAGACUAACCGAAGAACCUCACCAGGGUUUGACAUGUAGCUGCACGUCUUAAGAAAUUAAGACUCUCUUGAAGGUGCUACACAGGUGCUGCAUGGCUGUCGUCAGCUCGUUCCGUGAGGAGUGCCCUUAAGUGGGACAACGAGCGCAACCCCUAUUACAUGUUAGAAAUGUCAUGUAAGACUGCCUUGCCAUUUGGCGGGGAGGAAGGAGGGGCAGACGUCAAGUCCGCAUGGUCCUUAUGCCCUGGGCUACACACAUGUUACAAUGAGUACGGCAAUGAGUCUGUCGCGAGCACGUAAGUGUAAGCUAAUCUCUUAAAUGUACUCUCAGUGGGGAUUGAGGUCUGCAACUCGACCUCAUGAACACGGAAUUGGUAGUAAUCGCGGGUCAGCUAUACCGCGGUGAUACGUUCUUGCCUCUUGCACA
rnacentral:rRNA from 1 species